rfam:Alligator mississippiensis ScZkoYb_97, whole genome shotgun sequence.
UCCCUGGUGGUCUAGUGGCUAGGAUUUGGUGUUCUCAUUACCAUGGCCCAGGUUCAAUUCCUGGUCAGGGAA